GACGAACGCUGGCGGCGUGCCUAAUACAUGCAAGUCGAGCGAAGCGGCGGAUGGGUGGGUAACGCGUGGGUAACCUGCACUUAAGUCUGGGAUACCAUUUGGUAACAGAUGAUAAUACCGGAUACUUAAGGAUGGACCUGCGAUGCAUUAGCCAGUGGGUAGGUAACGGCUUACCAAGGCGAUGAUGCAUAGCCGAGUUGAGAGGAUGAUCGGCCACAUUGGGACUGAGACACGGCCCAAACUCCUACGGGAGGCAGCAGUAGGGAAUCUUCCACAAUGGACGAAAGUCUGAUGCAGCCACGCCGCGUGAGUGAAGAAGGUUUUCGGAUCGUAAAGCUCUGUUGUCGGUGAAGCGGUACUCAACCAGAAAGUCCCGGCUAACUCCGUGCCAGCAGCCGCGGUAAUAC
rnacentral:rRNA from 1 species